rnacentral:tRNA from 1 species
UUAAUUUUUUUAGCAAAAAAAAAAUUAAUGUUGUAUUUUUAAUUGAAGUAUUUUUUUCUAGUUAGUUAUAGGG